rnacentral:lncRNA from 1 species
GCUGAAAAAGAUGUAUUAAAAUAUUCACAAAAGUACAACUGAAAAAGAAAAUCAUGAACUUGAUGGUUUUUUUAUGGAGCCGGAUCCCUUUCCAUUGAAAAACUACAGAUAGCUUGCCAUUUUAAUCUUAAGUAAUCCCUUUUAGGUCCCCCCCCACCCCCUUAGAAAAACCUCGUGUAAUUUUAAGAGGUCUCUGCCAGUAAUUAGACACAGAAAGGAUAGCCCUGGCAUUUGAAAGCACCACCACAGUUGUCAUCUGUGGCCAGGGACAAAGAUGGUGAGUCACAGGACCAAAAGGGCCAAAGAUCCACAGGAGCCGGUGGGAGUAGUUUCUGAAAAAGCCUCACGUGUGAGCAGCUCCUUCAGACAAGUCGGUCAUGGAAUGGGAGUCGGUAGGGGCCCACUCUUGCCUGGUGGAGGAGGGUGAUGAAGGCCAAAUAAAGUCUGAGGUAUCUGGUUGAGUGGUCAUGCCCAGAAGGAGGUGCACGGGGGUGGUGUCCCGCUGACAACUGAUUAGCGGGAGUGUAGGCUGGUGCUCUGGGUGGCAGCUUCACAAACAUGCAGAGGAAUUAGGGCUCUUGCUAUCAGGUCAUGUUAGGAAUGUAUAGAUUUAUUAGACCUGCUGAGAAAAGGAGAAAAGGGAGAAAGCCACUUUUCUCUAUAAAAAAUGACUGUGAGGAAACUAUACAUAUCAAGAAUGUGGGCUUGCUACAUUCUUCCCAUAACUGUGGGUUUUCAAUUUCAAAUGAAGAAAAUUAUUUUAAAACAAAAUCAUCCAGAAAAUGGGGAAAUGAGAACGUAAGUGUUUAAUGAUUUUUACCAUGCUUUUCAUCCCCAGUUUAAAAAAAAAAACACAUAGGUUUGAGAUGUAGGUCGGGCAUAGUCAAUGGGAAAAAAUGUUACCGAGAAGGAUGCCAAAAUUGUCUAUAUUUUUCCUCAUCUUAUUGUUUCUCAAUACCAUGUAACUGGGGAGGGGGUGAAAUAAAAAGGAAAGAAGGAAGGGAGAAAGGAAUAAAAAAAAAUGCUGGGAAUCUCUUCUCAGUCCCCCCCCCCCUUUUUUUUUUUUUAAGUGUCUAUGAGUUCCCUGGUGGCUCAGUGGGUUAAGGAUCUUGUCACUGUGGCAGCUCGGGUCACUGCUUGGGCAGGGAUUCAAUCCCUGGCCUGGGAACUUCCCAUGAGCCUUAGGCAUGGCCCAAAAAAUAAAAAAAAAAAAAUUAAAAAAAAGAUUCUCUAGAGAGAGCUCUGGGCUACUAGAGACUGGCAGUUGAAUUAUCCCAUUUCCGCCUUCUCAGAAGGAAAUGAAACACUGCUCCUUUGGCUGUCUGAGGACUUGUUACCAGUAUGAAGAACUAGAGCAAAGAAUAUAACUGAUACUUUUUGCUCUCCAAUGGUACAGGACCCCUCAAGCCAGGCCUGGGUUCUCUAUGUCAAUUAUGUCUGUGGUGUUGAUUGAAAAACACCUGGAAGGAAGUGGCCUCUGGCUUUGGUUCCACGCUAUUAUGAAUCCACAAAUUGACAUAAUAUGCUUAAAGGGCAUCAUGUUAUUGUCUACACAACAUAGAAAGCUAAAAACUGCCCUGUAUUUGAGAGAGAAAAACAUCAAUAAAAAUUCUCAAACUGUCCUCAGGUGGCAUGGAGAAUGGAUGUUUUCUAAAAACCACCACCAAACAGGGGGCACGCUAGGUCAAAGGCCACCCUGAAGGUGCUUCCACCAUAGUAUCGCCACUCUCCAACCACAGGACAUCCUAAGGUGGGUUAAGCCCUUAGAUUAAAAGGCCAUGUCUAUUAGAAUACUAAAAGAGCUGCUACAGUCUCCAUUAAGGCAGACCACAUCUAAGUGAUGGUGACAGGAAUGUGUCUGAAUUUCCUCAAUUGUAAGUGACCCCAAAGGGAAGUACAAAAACAGCAAGACAAUUUACACAUACGUAGAAUCAUACCGCCCCGUCAUCAUGCAACACUGGCUCCUCUCAUCAGGAAGAUUAAAUAGAAUAUUUAUACAUCUCCUUUAUACAAAUCUUUUUCUCCCUCUAUGAAUAAACAUGUGCUUGUUCUUGUCCACGUUUCCAAGGCCACACAUGGUAAUGGACUACAUUUUCUGCAUAAGAGUCCAGUUUGGAUUUGUUUCUUGCUUGUUGGGAUGUCACUGGGGUCUUCUCUUAAUUUUUCCGGAUGUCUGCAUAUACCACAGACUCUGACUUGUUAAUCUUGUCGCUGUGAUGUCCGCCAGAGUGGUCUAGCUGUGCAUAUAUGACUGGGCCCUGGAGAAGAGAAGCAGAAGUAAGACAUUUUGAAAACUAAUUGACUUUAAAACAACAUUGAGGAGUUCCCGUCGUGGCGCAGUGGUUAACGAAUCCGACUAGGAACCAUGACGUUGCGGGUUCGAUCCCUGGCCUUGCUCAGUGGGUUAACGAUCUGGCGUUGCCGUGAGCUGUGGUGUGGGUCGCAGACAUGGCUCGGAUCCCACAUUGCUGUGGCUCUGGUGUAGGCUGGCAGCUCAGCUCCAAUUAGACCCCUAGCCUGGGAACCUCCAUAUGCCACGGGAGUGGCCCAAGAAAUGGCAAAAAGACAAAAAAUAAAAUAAAAAUAAAAUAAAACAACAUUGAGUAUAUCUGGUCAUUGUUCAAGGGGGUACACAGAGAUCUGUUACAUUCCCCUAUCUACUUUUGUAUCUGUUUUAAAAUCUGUAACAAUAUUCUUUCUCAGGGAUUACCUUUAGCUUAAUACCUGUCUCAGAAUUCCUCAACUCUUGCAAUUGGGAUCAGUCUCAAGGACAAAGAUGGGCACUUCUACCAACCUGAGACUUACUGAAAUCAUGACUUUCAGAAUGAACAAGAAUCUAACAUAUUCGGUGCCACUCCAAAAUACAAUCGAUUUGAACUGGUCACUUUAUACAAACAGGUACUUAAAAACUUCAAAUAUUUUCUCUCUCUUCUUCUUCCUCUUUUUUGGCCAUGCCUGCAGCAUGUACAAGUUCCUAGGCCAGGGACUGAACCUAUGCCUAAGCAGUAGAUACAGCCACAGCAAUGACAAUGUCAGAUUCUUAACUUACUGAGCCACUAGAGAACCCCAGAACCUCAAACAUUCUUUCAUGUAUCUUACAGUGCAAUUCUUUUAGUUUAAUCGUAUCAUGAGCAAUAAAAGUAUUGCUUUUUUUAUGGCUACACCUGCAGCAUAUGGAAGUUCCCAGGCCAGAGACUGAAUCCAAGCUGCAGCUGCAGCAACGCAGGAUCAUUUAACCCAUUGUGCUGGGCUGGGGACUGAACCUGCACCUCUGCAGGGACCCAAGCUGCAGCAGUCAGAUUCUUAACCCACUGCGCCAUACCACGAUCUCCAAGUAUUGCUUCUUUGAUAUCUGUUUUUAAAAUUUUUCCAUUUAAACCAUUUUUCCUGUUUUAAAAUUUAAAACAACAACAAACAAAAAAACCAAAGCCACAAUCUAUGGAGCUAUAAGGAAAAGCUCCAGAUGGACUAGAGUGGAAGAGGUUCUCUUAGCUUCAGCAGUAAGGAAGCAACCCGUCAGGGUCCCAUCCAGGAUAGCAAGGAAAAGUUGCCUGGGGAGAGCAAAUCCUUUGACUCUUUGGGAAGGAGGGGGGUUCAAAUAUCAGAAAAGUGGCUGCACUUCACAGUCCUUAAAGACUUCCAACCCAGAGAUUCUAAAAUUGUAAACAACAACAACAUAGCCCUGGUGUGAAGUUUAAUAUAAUCCAAAGUCAACUUUUCUCCCAAUCCAGGGAAACUCUCCUUGCAUACUCUACUCUUGUGCUUAAGCUUUCAACUUUGAAAUCAUGAGCUCAACUGCCAAAAGCAUGUGGUUUAAAACAACCAUCCUCACUCCCAUCUAGAAACACCACAACCUGCAUUCUUUAGUGUGUAUAACGGGAUCCUGCAGAAUUCAGGCACCCCAACUUCUACAGAGGAAACAAACCCAGCUAUAAGGGCUAAACAGUGGUGGACCUAAAAGUGGAGUCAUAAAUUACACCCAGGGGCUAGACCCAUUUGAACUUUAGCAGAUCCACAAUCUACAUGCAUGAGAAAUUCCUUUUGAGUAACAGUAGCACUGGGGAGCACUACACGUGUGGUCUCAGGAGUAUUUUUAAAUUCCCGAGCAUGAGUUUCUUCACCUGUUAAGACAGCACUAACAAUAGUAUUAUACCUCUUAAGGUUUUUGUGAGAAUUAAAUGAGAUGAUAUCUAAACAAAAGCAGUAUCUGACAGGUAGCACUCAAUACACGUCAGUCUCAUCAUGAACAGCCUGCUCUACAAAUAUACUUGCAAGUACACAGAGGUAACCAAUCAAGUAAAUCAAGCAAAAUCAGUGUGUGAUAUUCUCAGGCCUGACAUAGGUAAUACAACAGAUCACGCUGUUAAUACUGAAUCAAACUGAGACCUUCUAUAUUCAUCUCAGAAAGCUGCAAGUUAAAUGUGACUCAAAAAACCACACAUCCUAUUUUCUACUACUAAGAAUGAAAACAAUGAAAGUAUGAAGUAUCUUCUAGUAAGUUAACUAAUCCUUGGUAACAGUCAUUUCCAACAGGAAAGACACCAAAAUUAUGUAAUUUCCUUGACAAUAGGACCUUAUACCAUGAGGAGUUUUAGUUCAUGGGGGAAGGGGUUCAUGCCCCAUGAUGGAUUGUAAAAAUGGCUAUAAAUUCUUUCUUUUGUUGCAUCUACACCCUAAAUAUUAAUGCUGCAACUCCUCCCACCAAGAGCAUGAACCUACUUCUGAAUCCCUUAAAUCUGGGCUGGUCUUGUGACUUGCUUUGACUCACAGAAUGUGGCAGUAGUAACAUGCGCAAGUUCCAUACCCAGCAGGCCUUACAGCUUCCACUCUUCUUGAUCUUGGCAACCGCAGAGCCACCACCCCAUAUGAAGAAGCCCAAGCUUCCUGCUGGCUGAGGGGGACACAUGGCCCUGUGGUCCUCUGUCUCUCUGGUCAACUGCCUGCCAAUUAUCAGCCUAUGAGUGAGACCCCUUCAGGCUGUCCAGCCAACUGAGGAUGCACCAGUGAGCCAGCAGAGGUCAGCUGAACUGCCCCAGACCAGACGAUCUGCCCACAGGAGCAGGAGCCCAAUAGAGGGUGGUUGCUUUAAGCCACUAUCUUUUAAGGUGGCUUGUUACAUAGCAAUAGAUAAUUGAUACACUGUGGGAAUGGGAAAGAAAGAGAACAGAGAGAGCAAACAAGAAAAAUGACAGAAUAAUCUCUGAAUCACUCAGAAAAUGUUAAAACACGAGCAAGGUCUUUCAUGUGAGACAGUACCGUCUUUCAUGGCAAGAGAACACAAGCAUUUGUGGGAAAGUAACUGGGAAAACAUUAAAUGAUAAAAGGAACCCCUUCCUAUUGAUGGAUUUGGUUUCUUCAAAUUGCUUCCCACUAUCUGAUGUCCUCACUCUCUUUCCCCCUUAGAAUGUAACAAGGUCAUAAGGUCAGGGGCUUUGUUAGUUAAAUGGCUUUAACAAUAUUUGGAAGACUAUAGGUGUUGGAUGAAGGGGUGGAUGAAAUAAUGGAUCUAGAGGAAAUGUGGAGUGUGAGUUGAGAUCAGGGAUCUGCUGAUAGAUCUAGUUCAAUCCAGAACAGCUCUCUGGAGUCUUGUUCCAAGGGAUAUUUGCAAGCUACUUUGAAGGCGAAGGAGACCACUCAAGACUUCAGAAGGGGCCAGAGAACCAAGAUCAAUUUGGAAGCAAACGUGCCAUCGCCAAGACAUUUACUUUUGGGUGUUUGAGAGUUAAAACAAUAUUACCACCACCUACACUAACCUAGCUGUUUUUACUGUAAACCGCUUGACACUCACUCUUCCUCAUCCUCUUUUUUUUAAAAAUGGGCUGUACUUGUGGCAUAUGGAAGUUCCCAGACUAGGGAUUGAAUUGGAGCCGCAGCUGCCAGCCAAUGCAACAUCUGUGACCUACACCAAGCUCACAGCAGUGCCAGAUCCUAAAUCCACUCAGUGAGGCCAAGGAUCAAACCCACAUCCUCAUGGAUACUAGUUGGGUUCAUAAUCUGCCUAGCCACAAAGGGAACACCUCCGUUUUUGUUUUUUUUUUUUUGUUUUUUUUGACGUUGCCACAAAGAAUUACAACAACCAAGUAAAAAAUUACCCUUACUUAUACA